UUUACCUGCCACAAGAUGAGACCCUGUUAGUUUCAGCACCAUGGACAGGGGACCCACCCCCUGGAAACCAAACUAAUUUAUCUCGUAUAAUCUGGUCUACAAGAACUUCACAUGUUAUAUAUUUGUCAGAUGCAGCAUGUCCCUGCACUCCAUAUAUGGAAUGACACAACAGUUCUUAUGCCAGGACAGGCCUGGCCGGCCACAUGGGGACAUUGAUAAGCCAGUGGAGAAGAUGGAAAAGCUGAUCAGACAAAACUGCAGGGACAUUGACCUGGUGAGAAGACAAAAGAGUGUGUCCUGUUCCACUGGAAAGAAAACAAAGGGAAACAAAAGAAGAAGAAAACGGCUCAUAAGGGCACUGAAAAAUUGUUGGCAGAUUCUCCAGAGCAUGUACACGUCUGCAAAAUAAUCUUCAACUUUUACACCACAAAGCAUUGCACCUUUUCAAAAGUUCGUACGUGUAUGCAUAUUGUGGUAUCGCUUAACAAUAAUAUUGCAGGCCUGCAUUUUCAAAUGUUGUGAAGCAAAACUUUAUCGGUUCUGAGGCUGCUUUUUGUAUACCCAGUUAAGCUCACAUCACCAUUACAAAACUGACCACGAAUAAGCUCAACCAUGUAAUGCAAUCUAAUGUUUUUGUGGCAAAACACUUUUCAGUCAUGACUGUAGAUAGUAGGUUUCGUUUUUCACAUUCUCUUCAUAAUGCUUUUCUUAUUGUUGCUGUACUCUUUAAAUAAAUGAAAAAAUCCAACUGCUUUAUACCGAACAAUAAAUGACUGCCAAAUCC